rnacentral:miRNA from 1 species
UUCCUUCCGGUCAACAAGAAGUUAUACCUCAUUGAUUGGAAGGGAUUCCUUCCGGUCAAUGAGGUAUAACAAACUCAUUGACUGGAAGGAA